rnacentral:rRNA from 1 species
UACGAAGGGGGCUAGCGUUGUUCGGAAUUACUGGGCGUAAAGGGCGUGUAGGCGGCCCGUUAAGACAGGUGUGAAAUUCCUGGGCUCAACCCAGGACGUGCGCCUGUGACUGGCGGGCUUGAGUCCGGGAGAGGAUGGUGGAACUCCGAGUGUAGAGGUGAAAUUCGUAGAUAUUCGGAAGAACACCAGUGGCGAAGGCGGCUCACUGGACCGGCAUUGAC